UAUUAAUUGAGUAAAAUGUUUUGUCUCUAUUCAGUUCACGGUUUACAGAUAGUGAUAAGUACAAGGACACUUUCUACACGUGCUUCGACCUUUCAGAGGAGAGAGAGGGAGAUAUCUGUAAUGCCUGCGUUUUAUUAG